UACGGGGGGAGCAAGCGUUGUUCGGAUUUACUGGGCGUAAAGGGCGCGUAGGCGGUCAGCACAAGUCAGUUGUGAAAUCUCCGAGCUUAACUCGGAAAGGUCAACUGAUACUGUGCGACUAGAGUGCAGAAGGGGCAACUGGAAUUCUCGGUGUAGCGGUGAAAUGCGUAGAUAUCGAGAGGAACACCUGCGGCGAAGGCGGGUUGCUGGGCUGACACUGACGCUGAAGCGCGAAAGCUAGGGGAGCGAACGGG
rnacentral:rRNA from 1 species